rnacentral:lncRNA from 1 species
UUUUGACAUAUUAUCUGGCGUUGAUACAUUUACUGGAUUUUAGAGGGGACUUAAGAGUUUCCCCAGCCAUGUGCCUCCAACACUAGCCAGCUACCCGAAAUGACUGGACUUGGAAAUCCCUGGUGAAUUUCCAUCAGUCCAGAAGAACUUGGAAAAGCACAGACCCCACCUGGCACCCAAAGUGUAGAUUGCCGGGUGCUAGACAAGCUGCUGCCAUCGGGCAGCCACCACAGCUGGAGGCGCAGAGAAUCCAGCCUAUUGGAUGGGAGGCUGGAGAUGAGGACGGACUGUGAUGCAUUAUUAACUUGGCUAGCAAUAAGACCUCAUAAAUGCAAAGUGUCCAGUAAGAACACUGCUUCCAGUGUGGAACAGUAAAGAUACAUGCCACUCACCAACUCUGCAGGCCCGGUGUGCAAAGAGAGACCAAGGAAAGCAGUGCUGGAGACGGACCCGGGGCCUCCAAACACCCUAAGAAGGUGCCGAGAUACCUUCGUGCUGUUGCUCUUUUGAGACCAGGUUUUGCCAGGUCUGGAAUUUGCUUCUGCCUCCUUCCUGCUGGGGUCACAGAUGUGUGCCACCAUGUCAAGCCAUUCUCUAUCUCCCCCUCUUCUGCAGGAUUCCCUGAAACACGCCUAAAUAAUAAAAGAACUGCUGGAGGUAUUACCAACCUCAAAUUAUACUACAGAACUAUAGAGAUAAAAAGCAUGGUAUGUGCAUAAAGAAAGACAUCUGGUUUGUCUUCCUGUAACUCAGAGGAGGUGGUUGACAUCUCUCAGAGUGACCAUGGAUUUGCCUGCUCCUCUUCCAGAUCACUAGAGUGCCCUCCUGUAUUUCAAAGGCCUGUCAUUAG